GAAGAGAAGAGAAGAGAGAGAGAGAGAGGAGGAGAGAGUGGGAAGAAGACGGAAUAGUAAGGUAAAUAUGACAAAAACUGCUGCUCAAGGGAAUCCAGAGACAGACCCAAGUGGAUCCCUUAACAUAUAUAUCUAUAGAUUAAUAAAUUCUUUCUCUCAGAUGUUUCUCUUCUUCUAAAUCCCAUCAUAGCUCUUCCAAUGUUGGCAUUUCAGUAGUGGAAAAUCGUUGUUUGUUCAGUUGUUCUCUGCAGUCUGCAGUAUCAAUAAAGCAACCAUGAAUUCUUCUAAAUCCAAAUCCAGUAUUCCUGAAGCUUCACAGAGCAAAACCUUAACAGCAACUCCAAGAGUUAGCAAAGUAACCAGGGUGGUUGCUAAAUCAGAUGCCGAUUCACCUAAGCCUCUGCAAAACUCACGAGUUUCAAUUGACCGUUCCCCAAGAUCAGCUGAUUCAAAGCCUCUGCAAAAUUCACGACUCUCAAUUGACCGUUCCCCAAGAUCAGCUGAUCCAAAGCCAGCCAUGCAAAAUUCACGACUGUCAAUUGACCGUUCCCCAAGAUCAGCUGAUCCAAAGCCAGCCAUUGAUCGCCGGUCUCCAAAGCCAAAGAUUGCAACUCCACCAGAUAGACCACGAGUAUUGAAGGUAUCAGAACUAGAGGCUCAACUGAAUCUUGUGCAGGAGGAUCUUAGGAAGUCUAAGGAACGAUUAGCUUCUGCUGAGAAGGACAAAGCUCAGGUACUCGCGGAAUUGAGGGAAGCCAAGAGAUUGGCUGAGGAGGCAAAUGAGAAGCUCAGUGAGGCCCUUGUUGCCAAAAAACGAGCUGAGGAGAAUUCUGAGAUUGAGAAGUUCAGAGCUGUUGAGUUGGAGCAGGCAGGUAUUGAGGCAGCUCAAAGGCAAGAUGGCGAGUGGCAGAAAGAACUUGAGGCUGUUAGGAGUCAACAUGCUGUGGAUGUUGCUGCUUUGCUCUCUGCCACCCAAGAUCUCCAACGGGUGAAGCAGGAGCUAGCUAUGGCCUCUGAUGCAAAAAACCAGGCACUUAGCCAUGCUGAUGAUGCAGCUAAAAUUGCAGAAAUCCAUGCUAAAAAGGUGGAGCUUCUGUCUGCAGAGGUGAUUCGGCUGAAGGCCAUGUUCGACUCAAAGUCAGAGAGAGAGGCUAAUGAGAGCACUGAGUUGAUAAAGAUACUGAACUCCGAAGUGGAUUCUCUGAAACAAGAGCUUGCUAAAGCAAAAAGUAUUGAGCAAAAGUUGCUUGAAACAGAAGCUUUGGUUGAACAAUUUAGAAUUGAAGUGGAGGCUGCAAAAAAGGCUGAAUUAACUGCUAGUAAUUUGGUGGAGGAGUGGCGGAAGAAAGUCAGGGAAUUUGAAAGUCGGGUUGAAGAAGCAAACCAAAUGGAGAGAUCUGCAACUGAAUCAUUGGAUUUAUUGAUGAAACAACUAGAAGGGAAGAGUAAUUUAUUACAGGAUUCAGAAUCUGAAAUUGCUUCUCUUAAAGAGAAGGUUGAUUCAAUGGAGAUCUCAAUUGGGCAACAGAGAAAGGAUUUUGAAGAAUCAGAACAUCGUCUUGAGACAGCUAAGCAAGAGGCAUCAGAAAUGGUACGGAUGGUUGAAUUUAUGAAGGCUGAGCUUGAAACUGUGACGGAGGAGAAGAUGCAGGCACUGAACAAUGAGCAGCUUGCAGCUUCUAGUGUUCAAGACCUUCUAGCCGAGAAGAACAAACUAAUAAAUGAGCUAGAAACCUCCAGGGGCGAAGAGGAGAAGAGUAAGAAGGCAUUGGAAAGUUUAGCUUCAGCAUUGCAAGAAGUCUCUGCAGACGCAAGAGAAGCCAAAGAGAAGUUUUUGUCCAGUAAAGAUGAGCUUGAAAAUGCUAAGACCCAGAUAGAAGAAUUGAAAUUUGUUGUGCAUACAACAAAUGAGAAGUAUGAAACCAUGCUUGAGGAGUCAAAACAAGAGAUUGAUCUUCUUACAAAAGCUCUUGAUUACUCCAAUCACGAAGUCAAGAACUCCAAGGCUGAAUGGGAGCGAAAAGAGCUCAACUUAGGGAGUUCUAUAAAGAAAUCAGAAGAAGAAACCUAUGUUGCUAAACGAGAAAUUGAUAGGCUUGUUCAUUUACUCAAAAAAGCUGAGGAUGAAGCUCAGUCUUCAAAGGAGGAAGGGGCUAGGAUUCUGAGUACCCUAAAGCAAACUGAGUCAGAGGUGAAUUCUUUGAAAGCGGUUGUGGAGGAAGCCAAGGCUGAGAACGUGAGACUGAGAGAGAGAUUAUUGGACAAAGAGAAUGAGUUGCAAAGUAUCAGUGAAGAGAAUGAGGAGCUCCGGACAAGAGAAACUGUUGCUCUUGCAAAAGUUGAGGAGUUGUCAAAGUUGCUUGCAGAGGCUUCUGCCAAGAACAUUCCCGUGGAAAAUGGAGAGCUAUCUGAUAGUGAGAAAGAUUAUGAUCUGCUACCAAAGGUAGUAGAGUUCUCAGCAGAAAAUGGAAAUGGAGGAAAAGAGGAUAAGCACAUGUUUGAAUUUCCAUAUCAACAUGUUGAGGAACCCCAGGAAGACAAAGAUCAGGAGAAGGAGUCGGUGGUGCCUGUGGAAUUAAAGGUGGAGAAUGGGAAUGGAAACCCCAACGAAGGGAAUGGAAUUCCCCAAGAAGAGGAAAAGAAAAAAGAACAAGAUGAUGAUUCAGUAGAGGUGGAGGGGAAGAUGUGGGAGAACUGCAAGAUUGGGGAGAAGGAUCUCCCACCAGAGAAAGAGCCUGGGCAGGAGUCCUUUGAAGAUGACCUUGAUUCAAAGGCGGAUGGGGAGAAUUUUGACCAGGUGAAUGGGUUACCUCCAUCAGACAGCUUUAACAAUAGCGGAAGCUUUCCAUCCAAGGAGCAGCAGAUAAAAAAGAAGAAGCCAUUGCUCAAGAAGUUUGGAAGCCUGCUAAAGAAGAGGGCAACCAGUGGCAACAAGUAGGAGAAUUGCUAUCAGUCCAAAUUCAGCCUGGCCUGAAUCUAUACUAAAGAAGCAGGUAGUACUAAAGUUACCUCAAAAGAAAGUCACAGGAUGAAAGAAGGAGGUGAAGGGAACCGUAAUUCUUGACUUUCGUAUUCUCAAAAUCUCUCUCUCUCUCUCUCUCUCUCUUUCAUUGCUCUGUCGGUAAGUAUUGUCUUGUCUUGCAGAAGCAAACAUCUUUUAGCGUGGAGAACUGCCUUUUGGUAGACCCAAGGUAGGGUUGUUCUCUCGUGCUUUUUAUGGGUUGUGUGAUCCAUGAAGGAAGCUAGCCAUGUUACCCAUGCA